rnacentral:rRNA from 1 species
AUGGAGCGAAUGACAUCGUCCUAUUUCAAGGAGAUAUACACAAAGGACCCAACCCUGACAUUGGGACCAAUCUUAGACCUUCUAACAGGUCGCGUAACGGCUGCAAUGAAUGAGAUGAUGACAAAGGAAUUUUCAGAGAAGGAAAUCGGAGAUGCUUUGUUCCAGAUAGGCCCUUUAAAAGCAGGGGCAGAUGGCCUUCCGGCUUGGUUUUACCAAAGAAAUUGGGCCACUGUACGGGAGGAAAUCGUGAUGGCUGUACAAACUUUUUUCAGAGAUGGAGUGAUGCUGGAUGGAGUAAAUGAAACAAGUAUAUUUCUAAUACCAAAGACAAGUGAACCUGAAAGUUUGAAGGAUUUCAGGCCAAUUUCGCUCUGCAAUGUGUUAUACAAGAUAGUUUCAAAGUGUAUGGUGAAUAGGCUGAGGACUAUACUUGAUGAAAUAAUUUUUGAGAUCCAAAGUGCCUUCGUGCCGGGGCGUUUGAUUUUAGACAAUGCGAUUGUGGAUUUUGAAGUGAUGCAUUACAUCCAGCAGGAACGUAAUCUGGAGGUAACAAAUUGUGCCUAUAAACUAGAUCUUUCGAAGGCUUAUGAUCGGGUAGACUGGAACUUUUUGGAGAAUGCUAUGCUGAAGAUUGGCUUCUCGGCGAAGUGGGUAUAGUGGGUAAUGCAAUGCGUGACUACGGUCCGGUUCAGGGUCAAUUUCAAUGGAAAGAUGCUGGAUCAAUUUGCACCUUCUCGAGGAUUAUGACAAGGCGACCCCUUGUCGCCGUUUUUAUUUAUGUUUGUUGCUGAUUCGUUAUCAAGCUUGAUACAGGAUGCAGUCAUGAACAAAGGGUUGAGUCCGGUAGUCAUCAGCCGAACAGCGCCUUGAUGUCUACUACACAACCUUCUUCAUGAUACACUUUUAUUCUUUCAUGCAUCAGAGGAGCAGGCUGUGAUUGUGAAGGACAUUAUUUAGAGAUAUGCUGCUGGUACAGGAUAGUUGUUAAAUCCUUCGAAACGCAGUAUGAUGUUUGCGGAUGUGUGCCCGCACGGAAGACGGAGAAGUAUCAAAAAUAUCCUAGGUGUGUUGAGUGAACACUUUGAGGAUUGUUAUCUGGGCCUUCCGGUCCCUGAUGCUAGAAUGAAUAAGGGCAAAUUCCAAUCACUUCAGGCGAGCUUGAGCAGGAGAUUUUUUGACUUGGGUGAGAAGCAUGCUUCAAGUGGUGCGAAAGAGACAAUAAUAAAGUCGAUUGUGCAAGCAAUACCGACAUACAUGAUGAGUGUUUUCAGGUUACCAGCAUCAACUUGUGACGAGCUGACUCAGAUGAUAAGGAGCUACUGGUGGGGUUUAGACAAUAGGAAACGAAGGACGCACUGGAUUGCAUGGGAGAAAUUACUAUGCCCAAAGAAUCAAGGUGGCCUGGGUUUCCGAGAUAUGAGGCUUUUUAACCAAGCUCUAUUAGCUCGUCAAGCAUGGCGUUUAAUUGAUAGACCUGAGAGUCUAUACACGAGGCUACUUAAAGCGAGAUACUAUAGACAUGGCAAUCUUAUUGACAUUGUCUUCACAGGCAAUUCUCCUGUAUGGCGAGGAAUUGAGCAUGGGCUAGAAUUGUUGAAGCAAGGCAUUAUAUGGAGAAUUGGUAACGGUAAAAAAAGUCAGGGUUUGGAGGGACCCUUGGAUACCACGUGCGGGCUCUUGUAA